rnacentral:rRNA from 1 species
AGGUAAGCUACUAAGAGCGAAUGGUGGAUGCCUUGACUGGUAAAGGCGAUGAAGGACGUACUAGACUGCGAUAAGCUACGGGGAGCUGUCAAGAAGCUUUGAUCCGUAGAUUUCCGAAUGGGGCAACCCAAUGUAUAGAGAUAUACAUUACCUAUAUAGGAGCGAACGAGGGGAAUUGAAACAUCUUAGUACCCUCAGGAAAAGAAAUCAAUAGAGAUUGCGUCAGUAGCGGCGAGCGAAAGCGCAAGAGGGCAAACCCAGUGCUUGCACUGGGGGUUGUAGGACUGCAAUGUGCAAGAGCUGAGUUUAGCAGAACAUUCUGGAAAGUAUAGCCAUAGAGGGUGAUAGUCCCGUAUGCGAAAAACAAAGCUUAGCUAGCAGUAUCCUGAGUAGGGCGGGACACGAGGAAUCCUGUCUGAAUCCGGGUCGACCACGAUCCAACCCUAAAUACUAAUACCAGAUCGAUAGUGCACAAGUACCGUGAGGGAAAGGUGAAAAGAACUGAGGUGAUCAGAGUGAAAUAGAACCUGAAACCAUUUGCUUACAAUCAUUCAGAGCACUAUGUAGCAAUACAGUGUGAUGGACUGCCUUUUGCAUAAUGAGCCUGCGAGUUGUGGUGUCUGGCAAGGUUAAGCAAACGCGAAGCCGUAGCGAAAGCGAGUCUGAAUAGGGCGCUUAGUCAGAUGCUGCAGACCCGAAACGAAGUGAUCUAUCCAUGAGCAAGUUGAAGCUAGUGUAAGAACUAGUGGAGGACUGAACCCAUAGGCGUUGAAAAGCCCCGGGAUGACUUGUGGAUAGGGGUGAAAGGCCAAUCAAACUUCGUGAUAGCUGGUUCUCUCCGAAAUAUAUUUAGGUAUAGCGUUGUGUCGUAAUAUAAGGGGGUAGAGCACUGAAUGGGCUAGGGCAUACACCAAUGUACCAAACCCUAUCAAACUCCGAAUACCUUAUAUGUAAUCACAGCAGUCAGGCGGCGAGUGAUAAAAUCCGUCGUCAAGAGGGAAACAACCCAGACUACCAGCUAAGGUCCCUAAGUCUUACUUAAGUGGAAAACGAUGUGAAGUUACUUAAACAACCAGGAGGUUGGCUUAGAAGCAGCCAUCCUUUAAAGAAAGCGUAAUAGCUCACUGGUCUAGUGAUUUUGCGCGGAAAAUAUAACGGGGCUAAAGUAAGUACCGAAGCUGUAGACUUAGUUUACUAAGUGGUAGGAGAGC